CUUGAUGAAUGAUGCAUGCAUGAAAUACCACCCUCUUAACUCAGGUGGCUGACCACCAGUGUUCUUACUGAAACAUCUGUUUCCUUUUAGCCUCCAAGCCCUUGCCUCCAGCCCCUGCUCCAGAUGAGUAUCUUGUGUCCCCCAUUACUGGGGAGAAGAUCCCCGCCAGCAAAAUGCAGGAACACAUGCGCAUUGGACUUCUUGACCCUCGCUGGCUGGAGCAGCGGGAUCGCUCCAUCCGUGAGAAGCAGAGUGAUGAUGAGGUGUAUGCACCAGGUCUGGAUAUUGAGAGCAGCUUGAAGCAGUUGGCUGAGCGGCGUACUGACAUCUUCGGUGUAGAGGAAACAGCCAUUGGUAAGAAGAUCGGUGAGGAGGAGAUCCAGAAGCCAGAGGAAAAGGUGACCUGGGAUGGCCACUCAGGCAGCAUGGCCCGGACCCAGCAGGCUGCCCAGGCCAACAUCACCCUCCAGGAGCAGAUUGAGGCCAUUCACAAGGCCAAAGGCCUGGUGCCAGAGGAUGACACUAAAGAGAAGAUUGGCCCCAGCAAGCCCAAUGAAAUCCCUCAACAGCCACCACCACCAUCUUCAGCCACC
rnacentral:sRNA from 1 species